rnacentral:rRNA from 1 species
CCUACGGGAGGCAGCAGUGGGGAAUAUUGCACAAUGGGGGAAACCCUGAUGCAGCGACGCCGCGUGAGUGAAGAAGUCUUUCGGUUUGUAAAGCUCUGUUAGCAGGGAAGAAAAUGACGGUACCUGAGUAAGAAGCCCCUGCUAACUACGUGCCAGCAGCCGCGGUAAUACGUAGGGGGCAAGCGUUCUGCGGAUUUACUGGGUGUAAAGGGAGCGUAGACGGCAGGGCAAGUCUGGUGUGAAAGGCGGGGGCUCAACCCCCGGGCUGCUCUGGAAACUGUACGGCUGGAGUGCAGAAGAGGUGAGUGGAAUUCCUAGUGUAGCGGUGAAAUGCGUAGAUAUAAGGAGGAACACCAGUGGCGAAGGCGGCUGACUGGACUGUAACUGACGUUGAGGCUCGAAAGCGUGGGGAGCAAACAGGAUUAGAUACCCGAGUAGUC